AUUGAACGCUGGCGGCAGGCCUAACACAUGCAAGUCGAGCGGAUGAAGUGAGCUUGCUCCUGGAUUCAGCGGCGGACGGGUGAGUAAUGCCUAGGAAUCUGCCUGGUAGUGGGGGAUAACGUCCGGAAACGGGCGCUAAUACCGCAUACGUCCUGAGGGAGAAAGUGGGGGAUCUUCGGACCUCACGCGAUCAGAUGAGCCUAGGUCGGAUUAGCUAGUUGGUGGGGUAAAGGCCUACCAAGGCGACGAUCCGUAACUGGUCUGAGAGGAUGAUCAGUCACACUGGAACUGAGACACGGUCCAGACUCCUACGGGAGGCAGCAGUGGGGAAUAUUGGACAAUGGGCGAAAGCCUGAUCCAGCCAUGCCGCGUGUGUGAAGAAGGUCUUCGGAUUGUAAAGCACUUUAAGUUGGGAGGAAGGGCAGUAAGUUAAUACCUUGCUGUUUUGACGUUACCAACAGAAUAAGCACCGGCUAACUUCGUG
rnacentral:rRNA from 1 species